rnacentral:tRNA from 1 species
GCCCCUGUAGCUCAAGGGAUAGAGCACUUUUCUGACUGAAAUUGGGGUUGUGGGUUCGAGUCCCACCAGGGGCAC